GAGUGCCAUCUAAUUAUAUUCCUCUCCAGCUGUGGCGGAUUAUAAUGUGUGUUUUGUUUUCAGUUUUCUAGCUAGCGCACACCAAUACAUUUCUCUGCAUUAACAAUCAAACAUGGUUGCAUCAUGUCUAAUAUGUGUGCUUGUUCUUGUACUUACUACCUACUGAGGGCCAUUAUCAAAGAGAAACAAACCAACUGAACUUAUUCUGUCUGUCACAACUUUUUAAAGCAUGGAACAGCCAUGUCGGACUUUGAGGUUAGAAUCAUUUUAAAUGUGUUCUAGUUUAUUUUUCUGCUUUCAAACUUAAAAAAACUGACCUUGUCUGUUUAUCUUGAUUUUAAAAAUGCAUAAAAUUCCUCAUUUCUGAUCUAGUUUCUUGGUAUAUUUGUGUCCAUCUUCACUAAAAAGAACAGGAUCUGGUCAACUCUUCAGUCAUUUUGGCAAGGAUUAGUCCCAUUUUGCUAAAAGCACUCAAAAGUCUUAUAAUUUUUUUUAUUGUUAAUGCAUUGUUAAGGUCUUUUUUCAAACACAGGAAAGUAUAUAUUUUUUUACCUUCCUGACAGUUUAAAUCACUCUUGCGAUCUUCAUCAGAGAUAGCCGCUAAAGGCGGCGUCACUUCCUUCUCCGUUUAUCCGCCUUUUUGUGUAGUUUUGUCCUGUCUGAUUCUGCUUACUACUAUGUCUAUGGUUUUUUGGGUUGGUGUUUUUGUGAACAGGGAUGUAACGUGUGAGAUUAGUGUGUCGUCGUCUUCUAUUGUAGUCUUUUUUAGUUAUUUUGCCAGUUCUGUGCUGUUUUUGCAAUGUUGAUCUGUGUUGCCUAACAGUGGGCUGAUGAUUAUGCUGAUUUCUUUAUCCAUAUUGUAUGUUGGUGUACCUGUGCUGUUUACUAUUGGUCUAAGCAGGCUGUUCUGUUUGUGUAUUUUUGGAGUUCCAUAGAUUCUUGGUAUUAUGCUUGCUGUAGGAAUCCAAUGUUUAGAAAUGUUUUUAUUUUAUUUUGCCCUUUUCUUGUAGUGGUUUCAGUAAUUUUUUCAUGUUUUUCUUAAUGUCUUCUGUUGGGUCUUUAUUGUUUUGUGUGUAUUUUUGUCCUCUAGCAUCUGUUCCAUCUACUGUUUGUAUUUGUCUUUGUUUUUUGGGCAGCAGAGGGCAACAUCGUCCUCUGCUGCCUGCGAGUAAACAGAGAAGGAAGUGGCGCUGGCAGUAGCGGCUAGCUCUGAUGCAGAUCGCAGAAGAGAUCAAAAUUGUCAGCAAGACAUUUUGACCUCCCAUUCCAGCCAACACAGUACUCCCAUUUUAAUCCUGGAGUCUUAUAACUGAGGAGCAUCUUUGACCACUGGGCCGGAGACAGCCCUGCAUCCUUCCUUGAAAUGGUGUAUGAGUGUUAGAAGCCCGAAAACCUUUGACACUAUGGGGAACUUGCUUAAAGGCCAGGAAACGUCCAUGCUGCCACACUGAGGAUACUUGCUGCAACAGCACCUUCACCUUUCCAAACCACAGGAUGGCGGGGAGCAGGAGAUUGGUUGUUUUCACUCAACCCAUUUGUCAAAUAUUAUUAAAUCUUCCAAACAACAAAAGACAAAAAAAAUGUAUUUUAGUGGAAUGUUGUAUACUACAUUUUACUUUUCUUGAAAACAUAAAAAAGGUGCUGUUUAUUGCUAAGAAUAAAAAUGUCUAUCUGAGAUGUUGUGGGGUUUUUUUGUUUAGUGAUAAAAAAAAAUCUGCCAUUUGGAUGCCAGAUAUUGUUUAUUUGUGACCAUCUUAAGCAGCAGCUGUAAAAUAUCUGUAGAUGGCUCUAAAUAAAGUUUAAAGGGACUUUGGUUGGUGUUAUAUUUUGUUUUGUUGUUUUGGGUCUACAGUGCUGUGAAUGUAGCCAAAAAAGGCUGCUGUCUGAUGAAGAUGCUCAUAUUUGAUCCAGUGAGUAUGUGAUUUCAUAGUUUUGGAGUCAAAGGCUUCAUAUCUAAGCUCUAAGCUCUGAAAACCAGUGUAAAUGCCACUCGUAUAGGCCAUUUUAAUGUUGCAUGUUGAGACCACACACCAUAUUGCAAACUGCUUAAGUAUUUUUUGUGCCUGUGGAGACAUGAAUUCAGACCUUGAGCUGCCUAUUGCUAACUGCUGAUUAGUCAUUGCAUGAAACUCUUCCUAUCAUAAGUAUUUGUUUGAAUGUUUUUGCUGUGUGGAUAGAUAACAAGUGUGUUUCAAGAAUGUGUCUUUAAUUUUUGUGAUUUUAACAUUUCUUGGAAUUAAAUGCAGUGGGCAUCUACAAAAUAUGUGUUGCUGUAAAGAUGUUUCUGAUUAAUAACAAUAUGGGAAAACAGA